ACAAGUGUCACACGGAACUGCCGGUCAUAAACCGGAGGAAGUGGGAUGACGUCAAGUCAGCAUGGCCUUUAUAUCCUGGGCUACACACACGCUACAAUGGGAAGGGACAAUAGGUUGCGAAGCCGCGAGGCGGAGCCAAUCCAGCAAAACUUCCCUCAGUUCAGAUUGCAGGCUGCAACCCGCCUGCAUGAAGUUGGAGUUGCUAGUAAACGCAGGUCAGCCAUACUGCGUUGAAUACGUUCCCGGGGCUU
rnacentral:rRNA from 1 species